GCCCUGGUGGCACAAUGGUUAAGUGCUCGGCUGCCAACCAAAAUGUUGGUGGGUCGAACCCACCCAGUGGCU
rnacentral:tRNA from 1 species